rnacentral:misc_RNA from 1 species
AUUUUGGUAUCAGAGCAUGGUUUGAUCCUUUGGGCAAUAAAGUGAAACGUGAGGUUUGGGUCUAUUGGGUAUUAAACAAAACACUUUUCUUUGGGGCACUAAAAGGGAAACACGAGAGGAGUGUGAGAGGAAGAGCAAAGAUGGCAACAAAUGCUUUUUCAUCAUCUUCACAACCACUCGUAUCGAUUUUUACAGGAGAAAAGUAUGAGUUUUGGAGUAUUAAGAUGAAAACUCUUUUUAGGUCUCAAGACCUUUGGGAUCUAGUUGAAUAUGGCUUCGUGGAUUUAGAAGAUCCAGAUGAAGAGGCAGAAGAAAGACUGAAAGAAGCUAAAAGGAAGGAUGCCAAAGCUUUAUUCCUAAUUCAACAAGCUGUCCAUGAAACAAUUUUCUCAAGAAUUGCAGCAGCAACAACAUCAUUAGAGGCUUGGCAAAUUUUGAAGAAGGAGUUCCAAGGUUCUACAAAGGUAAUGACGGUAAAAUUGCAGACUUACCGCCGUGACUUUGAAACUUUGUCUAUGAAAAGCAAUGAAUCUAUUCAAACUUAUUUGUCUAGAGUUUCUUCUCUUGUUAAUCAAAUGAAGUCGUAUGGUGAGGAUAUUUCUGAAGAAACUGUUGUUGCAAAAGUUUUAAGGAGUCUUACUCCAAAGUUUGAACAUAUUGUUGCUGCUAUUGAGGAAGCCCAUGAUUUAUCAAAUUAUUCAUUUGAUGAACUAAUGAGUUCUUUGCAAGCUCAUGAAGAUAGGUUGCUCAGGUCACAAGAAAAGAACGAAGAAAAAGCUUUUCAGGUGAAGGGGGAGACGUACGAAAACGGUGCUGGACGUGGUAGUGGCAGAGGUGGUAUCCGCGGAAGAGGUCGAGGAAGAGGUGGAGGCAGAACCGGAUCUAGUGAAGAGAGGCAGAAUAAGGUCUUUAAAUGUUACUACUGUGACAAGCCAGGUCAUAGAGAGGCUAAUUGCUGGAAAAAACAGAAGGAUGAGAAAAACCAAGCAAGCUUUGCAGAGGAACCAGAUGAAGAAAGUAAGCUGUUUAUGGCCCUUUUUUGUGAGAAGGAGCAAUCUAACGAUGUUUGGUUUUUGGACAGCGGUUGUUCUAAUCACAUGUGUGGAACAAAGUCAUUAUUUAAGGAGCUCGAUGAGUCUGAUAAAACAGAUGUGAUGCUAGGAGACAGCAAGAAGAUUCGAGUUGAAGGCAGAGGUACCAUUAGCAUUAAAACUAGUCAAGGUAGUGCUAAGAUUUUACAAGAUGUGAUGUUUGUUCCUGGUUUAUCUCAUAAUCUUCUUAGCAUUGGGCAAUUAAUGAUUAGUGGAUAUUCAAUUUUGUUUGAUGAUGGUUUUUGCAUUAUUAAAGAUAAAAAAUCAGGGCAAAUCACUGCUAAAGUUCCAAUGGCUAAAAAUAAAAUGUUUCCACUGGAAGUUUCAAUGAUUGAGAAUUAUGCUAUGGUUGCUAAUGUUGAUAGUGAGACUCAAUUGUGGCAUUUACGUUAUGGGCACUUAAAUAUUAAUGGGUUAAAGCUGUUGAGUGAAAAAGAAAUGGUUUUUGGCUUGCCCAAACUUGAGAGUCUUGUUUUUUGUGAAGGAUGUGUUUAUGGAAAACAAAGUAGAAAGUCUUUUCCUGUUGGAAAGGCUUGGAGAGCCUCUAAGUGUCUUGAGUUAGUGCAUGCAGAUUUGUGUGGGCCUAUGAAUAUAGAGUCUCUUGGUGGUAGUCGAUAUUUUUUAUUGUUUACAGAUGAUUGCAGCUGUAUGAGUUGGGUUUAUUUUCUAGAAAACAAGUCUGAAGUUUUUGAUAGAUUUAAGAAGUUCAAAGCAGUUGUGGAAAGAGCCAGUGGUUUGUUAAUAAAGACAUUGCGAACAGACAGAGGAGGUGAAUUUGUUUCAGCUGAGUUUAAUGUUUUUUGUGAGGAAAAUGGGAUUUGCAGGGAACUUACAGCACCAUACACACCAGAGCAGAACGGUGUAGCUGAAAGAAAGAACUGAAUUGUGGUAGAGAUGGCCAGAAGCAUGAUUCAAGCAAAAGGCCUUCCUAUUUAUUUUUGGGCAGAAGCUUUCGCAACAGCAGUGUACCUUCUCAAUUUGUCUCCUACAAAAGCUGUUCGUAAUCAAACACCCUUUGAGGCUUGGACAGGUAGAAAACCAACGGUAAGCCACUUAAAGGUUUUUGGUUGUAUAGCUUAUGCUUUGGUCAAAACUUACUCUAGAAAAUUUGAUGAAAGGUCUGAGAAAUAUAUUUUUGUUGGCUAUUCUUCUCAAUCCAAAGCAUUUAAGCUUUAUAAUCCUAUUAGUGGCAAGCUAACCAUCAGCAGGGAUGUAGUUUUUAAUGAAGAUGCAACAUGGAUUUGGAAUGAAGAAAAUAAGGAGGGGCAUAUACAAGUGUUAGAAGAUAAUAUUGAACCACCAUUGAAUCCAACACCAGCAAUUUCCAGCCUUGAUACUGUUGGAAGUAGCAAUCCAUCUGUCCCUACAAGCAAUGAAUCAUCAUCUUCAAGUUCAUCAAGUGAAACUCCUCCAAGGAAGUGCAAAUCCUUGCAGGAAAUUUAUGCUUCUUGUACUUUUGCUUUGCUUGUUUCAGAUCCUAUUUGCUUUGAAGAAGCUGUAAAAGAGAAAGAAUGGUGCAAAGCUACGGAAGAGGAGCUGUUGGCUAUCCAGAAAAAUCAGACUUGGGAUUUGGUAGACUUACCAGAAGGAAAGAAUGUUAUUGGGCUCAAAUGGGUGUUCAAAACCAAGUAUCAUGCAGAUGGGAGCAUUCAAAAACACAAGGCGAGGCUGGUUGUAAAGGGUUAUUCUCAACAACAAGAUGUCGACUUCUAUGAAACAUUUUCUCCAGUUGCACGCUUUGAAACAGUGAGAACCUUUUUAGCCUUAGCUGCUCAAUUAAAUUGGCCAAUAUACCAAUUUGAUGUUAAAUCUGCUUUUUUGAAUGGUGACUUGGAGGAAGAAGUUUAUGUCUUACAACCUGAAGGUUUUGUAGCUAAUGGCAAUGAAGAUAAAGUGUACAGGUUAAAAAAGGCGCUUUAUGGCUUAAAGCAAGCACCACGAGCAUGGUACUUCAAAAUUGAUUCCUAUUUUCAGGAGAGUGGAUUUAAAAGAAGUGAAAAUGAGCCAACACUUUAUUUGAAGGAAAAUGGUAAAGAUGAGUUUUUGGUGGUAUGUCUUUAUGUUGAUGAUAUGAUCUAUAUGGGUUCUAAUGAGUUGAUUAUUGCUGAGUUUAAAUCUUACAUGAUGAAGAAAUUUGAAAUGACAGACUUAGGUUUAUUGCAUUAUUUUCUUGGUCUUGAAGUGAAACAAGUUUUUGAUGGGAUCUUUAUUUCACAAAGAAAAUAUGCAAUGGAUCUUUUAAAAAAAUUCAAUAUGUUGAACUGCAAAGUAGAAGCUACACCCAUGAAUGUCAAUGAAAAGUUGAGUCGAGAUGAUAAUGCUGAAUUUGUGAAUGCACCAUAUUUUAGGAGUCUUGUUGGAGGUUUGAACUAUUUGUGUCAUACUAGACCAGAUAUUGCUUUCUCGGUUGGAGUUGUGUCCCGGUUUAUGCACAAUCCAAGCAAGCUGCAUCUUGGAGCUGCAAAGAGAAUUUUGAGAUAUGUAGCAGGAACUGCAGAGUUGGGAAUUUGGUACUCCAAGGUAUCAAAUUUUAGACUGACAGGUUACACUGACAGUGAUCAUGCAGGUUGUAUGGAUGAUAGAAAAAGCACAUCUGGUUUUCUGUUCAAUCUUGGGUCAGGUGCAAUUUCAUGGAGUUCAAAGAAGCAAGAAGUGGUAGCUUUAUCAUCAUCAGAGGCAGAAUAUAUUUCUGCAACAGCAUCAGCUAGUCAAGCAGUUUGGCUAAGGAGACUUCUUGCAGAUUUCAAUCAGAAGCAAGUUGGAGCUACAGAGAUCUUUUGUGAUAGCAUGUCAGCUAUUGCAAUGACGAAGAAUCAAGCCUAUCAUAGCAGAACAAAACACAUCGACAUUCGUUAUCACUUCAUUAGGAAUCUUGUUACCAGUGAAGACAUUGUGUUGAAGUUUUGCAAUACAAAAGAACAAGUUGCUGAUAUACUGACAAAGGCACUUCCACUGGAAAAACAUGAGAACUUCAGAAAACAUAUGGGAGUUUGUAACUUUGAAUCAAGGGGGAGUGUUAAAAUCUGAUUCAAAGUUUGACCGAGUAUUUCUGUGAUUUGUUAGUUUGUUUCCUUUAUUUAAGCAAGUUUCUUACUGUUGAGAAUAAAUAGCAGUCGUGGGAUUUGAUGCCCAGAUUUUUUGCUUUAUUUGUUUUAUUAAAGCCUAUAAAUAAAGGCACUUCUUGCUUGUUUUCUAGGCAGCAUUAAAUGAAAUAAAGUCUUCUAGUCUUUAUGUGCUCUGUUUAUCUCUGUUUUUAUUCACUUUUUCCAACAGUAUGAAGCGCUUUGCAUUA